rnacentral:tRNA from 1 species
GCCAGCGUAGCUCAGUUGGUAGAGCAGCGCUUUUGUAAAGCGCGGGUCGGGGGUUCGAAUCCCUUCGCUGGCU